AUGUCGACCUCAAGGGCGAACCCCGCCGGCGAUGGCAAUGGUAGCACCGAAUCUUCAACAGAUUCGACGUCAUGGUCCAACCUCCCGGACGACCUGCUGGGCAACAUCCUCCUCAGGGUCGCCUCCAUGAGGGACCGCGUGAGCCUCGCUGCCGUGUGCAGGCCAUGGCGCGCCACCGUGGCGCGCCUCCCGGGGCCGCCUGCCGUGCCGUUGCUGCUACUCUGGCCGCGCAAAAGCCGAUGCAGCUGGAGGAAGCACCUCUGCGGGCCCGAUGACGCAUGGGUCACACGCGCCCCGUCCAAGGUGGACAACGACUGGCCAUGGUUUGUCGGCUCGCACGACGGUGGUUGGGUCGCCACGGUCAACAACCACAAGGAGCUCAGGAUUGCCAACUUCUUCUCCGGUGCCGACGUCGCGCUAUCAGUAGCAAUAAGGACCCGGUGGUUACCCGAUCGUGAGCCUUUCUUCAAGCUCUUCAUGCUCGUCGAUGAAAACUUCGAUGAGGAUUACGAGCACAAGUGGGCAGAGGUGACGGGAUUCAGCGACUAUGCCUUAUUCUUAGGUCCCAUAAGGUCCAAGGCAUUGCACGUGCCUAUGGGUGCUGACCGCCGUGGUCUGAUGAGAAACCAUAUCUAUUACUCUGAAGAUUACCGCUCUGAAGAAGACCGGUUGCCUGGUGACGAAUUGUACUCGGUGACAUUAGAGCAUGGUUACCAUAUGUAUUGCAAAGAAGAUCAAAGUAUAGGUGAUGGUAUAGAGAGGACAAGAUACUGCAUUAUGGGUCGGGACUAUGAUUCGUUAUGGCUACACCCUCCAGACAUGUAA
rnacentral:rRNA from 1 species